rnacentral:tRNA from 1 species
GGACCAUAGCUCAGCUGGGAGAGCACCUGCCUUACAAGCAGGGGGUCACAGGUUCGAGCCCNAUCUGGUUGA